GGCAGCAUGAGGUCGCCGAUGGGCGGAAUUCUGCAGAAUUACCUGCCACUUGUGGUGUUUAUCGGGGUCGCGACCGUGAUCGGUCUUGCGCUUCUGAUCGCACCGUUCAUCGUCGCCUAUCAGCAGCCCGCUCCGGACAAGCUUUCUGCCUAUGAAUGCGGCUUCAAUGCAUUCGACGACGCGCGCAUGAAAUUCGAUGUGCGGUUCUAUCUCGUCGCGAUUCUUUUCAUCAUCUUCGAUCUGGAAGUCGCCUUCCUGUUUCCAUGGGCGGUGGCGUUCGGAAAGCUCGGCCUCGCCGGGUUCUGGUCGAUGAUGGUG
rnacentral:misc_RNA from 1 species